GACGAACCGUGCGAACGUUGUUCGGAAUCACUGGGCGUAAAGGGCGCGUAGGCGGAUCUUUAAGUCGGGGGUGAAAGCCCAGGGCUCAACCCUGGAAUUGCCUUCGAUACUGAAGAUCUCGAGACCGGAAGAGGUUAGUAGAACUGCGAGUGUAGAGGUGAAAUUCGUAGAUAUUCGCAAGAACACCAGUGGCGAAGGCGGCUAACUGGUCCGGUUCUGACGCUGAGGCGCGAAAGCGUGGGGAGCAAACAGG
rnacentral:rRNA from 1 species